UCCCUACUGCGGUGUUCGCCAGCGGCCUGUCAGGUCUCUCGACCCUUAAUCAUGCCUACGGGGCCCACUGCUGUGGGCAGUCUGUGCAAGACCGCCACGGCGGGAUGCCUGCCCUGCCCCUUCGGGCCCCACCUGUUGCUCUUGGUUUGAGAGCAGCGGGCUGCAACGGCACAGGCGGGGGGAAC
rnacentral:other from 1 species